CCUACGGGGGGCAGCAGUGGGGAAUAUUGGACAAUGGGGGGAACCCUGAUCCAGCCAUGCCGCGUGUGUGAAGAAGGCCCUCGGGUUGUAAAGCACUUUCAGUGAGGAAGAACGCCUGGUGGUUAAUACCCAUCAGGAAAGACAUCACUCACAGAAGAAGCACCGGCUAACUCCGUGCCAGCAGCCGCGGUAAUACGGAGGGUGCGAGCGUUAAUCGGAAUUACUGGGCGUAAAGCGCGCGUAGGUGGCUUGAUAAGCCGGUUGUGAAAGCCCCGGGCUCAACCUGGGAACGGCAUCCGGAACUGUCAAGCUAGAGUGCAGGAGAGGAAGGUAGAAUUCCCGGUGUAGCGGUGAAAUGCGUAGAGCUCGGGAGGAAUACCAGUGGCGAAGGCGGCCUUCUGGACUGACACUGACACUGAGGUGCGAAAGCGUGGGUAGCAAACAGGAUUAGAUACCCUGGUAGUC
rnacentral:rRNA from 1 species